rnacentral:rRNA from 1 species
UACGUAGGGUGCAAGCGUUGUCCGGAAUUAUUGGGCGUAAAGAGCUCGUAGGCGGUUUGUCGCGUCUGCUGUGAAAACUCAGGGCUUAACCCUGAGCCUGCAGUGGGUACGGGCAGACUAGAGUGUGGUAGGGGAGAUCGAAUUCCUGGUGUAGCGGUGGAAUGCGCAGAUAUCAGGAGGAACACCGGUGGCGAAGGCGGAUCUCUGGGCCAUAACUGACGCUGAGGAGCGAAAGCAUGGGGAGCGAACAGG